rnacentral:rRNA from 1 species
AGUGAACGCUGGCGGUAGGCCUAACACAUGCAAGUCGAACGGCAGCACAGUAAGAGCUUGCUCUUACGGGUGGCGAGUGGCGGACGGGUGAGGAAUACAUCGGAAUCUACUUUUUCGUGGGGGAUAACGUAGGGAAACUUACGCUAAUACCGCAUACGACCUACGGGUGAAAGCAGGGGAUCUUCGGACCUUGCGCGAUUGAAUGAGCCGAUGUCGGAUUAGCUAGUUGGCGGGGUAAAGGCCCACCAAGGCGACGAUCCGUAGCUGGUCUGAGAGGAUGAUUAGCCACACUGGAACUGAGACACGGUCCAGACUCCUGCGGGAGGCAGCAGUGGGGAAUAUUGGACAAUGGGCGCAAGCCUGAUCCAGCCAUACCGCGUGGGUGAAGAAGGCCUUCGGGUUGUAAAGCCCUUUUGUUGGGAAAGAAAAGCAGCAGGUUAAUACCCCGCUGUUCUGACGGUACCCAAAGAAUAAGCACCGGCUAACUUCGUG